GACGAACGCUGGCGGCGUGCUUAACACAUGCAAGUCGAACGGAAAGGCCCUGCUUUUGUGGGGUGCUCGAGUGGCGAACGGGUGAGUAACACGUGAGUAACCUGCCCUUGACUUUGGGAUAACUUCAGGAAACUGGGGCUAAUACCGGAUAGGAGCUCCUGCUGCAUGGUGGGGGUUGGAAAGUUUCGGCGGUUGGGGAUGGACUCGCGGCUUAUCAGCUUGUUGGUGGGGUAGUGGCUUACCAAGGCUUUGACGGGUAGCCGGCCUGAGAGGGUGACCGGGCAGCUGGGGAGUGGGGGACGGCCCGGGCGGCGACGGGAGGCGGGGGGGGGGAAAUGUGGAAAAGGGGGGGAGGGUGGAGGAGGGAACGCCGGGGGGGGGAUGAGGGGGUUGGGGUUGUAAACCGGUUUGGACUGGGAGAAAGGGGGAGGGAGGGGGAUGGGUAAGGGAGGACGGGGUAACUACGU
rnacentral:rRNA from 1 species